rnacentral:tRNA from 1 species
UGGCAAGUAGUUUAAAUAAAAUAAAUGAUUUCGACUCAUUAGAUUAUGAUAGUCAUACUAGCCAA